CGGUGGGGGCACCCUGACCGCAAUGCCGCGUGAGUGAAGAAGGCCUUCGGGUUGUAAAGCUCUUUUGUCAGGGAAGAAACACCGGCUCUAACACAGUCCGGGAAUGACGGUACCUGAAGAAUAAGCACCGGCUAACUACGUGCCAGCAGCCGCGGUAAUACGUAGGGUGCAAGCGUUAAUCGGAAUUACUGGGCGUAAAGCGUGCGCAGGCGGUUAUACAAGACAGGCGUGAAAUCCCCGGGCUUAACCUGGGAAUGGCGCCUGUGACUGUAUAGCUAGAGUGUGUCAGAGGGGGGUAGAAUUCCACGUGUAGCAGUGAAGUGCGUAGAUAUGUGGAGGAAUACCAAUGGCGAAGGCAGCCCCCUGGGAUAACACUGACGCUCAUGCACGAAA
rnacentral:rRNA from 1 species